rnacentral:rRNA from 1 species
UACGUAGGUGGCAAGCGUUGUCCGGAUUUACUGGGCGUAAAGAGCGCGCAGGCGGUCCGAUCAGUCGAAUGUGAAAGCCCCCCGGCUCAACUGGGGGAGGGUCAUUCGAUACUGUCGGACUCGAAGGCAGGAGAGGGAAGCGGAAUUCCCGGUGUAGUGGUGAAAUGCGCAGAUAUCAGGAGGAACACCGGUGGCGAAGGCGGGUCUCUGGGGCCGAUACUGACGCUGAGGAGCGAAAGCGUGGGGAGCGAACAGG